rnacentral:tRNA from 1 species
GGCGCCUUAGCUCAGUUGGUUAGAGCGCGAGUUUUAAAAGCUCGAGGUCCCGAGUUCAAAUCUCGGAGGCGCCA